GCGGACGUGGCGGAAUUGGUAGACGCAAGGGACUUAAAAUCCUCGAUCUCUGAUCGUACGGGUUCGAUUCCCGUCGUCCGCA
rnacentral:tRNA from 1 species